UCAGAGAAGAAAUUUUGACGGUAUCUGAGGAAUAAGCAUCGGCUAACUCUGUGCCAGCAGCCGCGGUAAGACAGAGGAUGCAAGCGUUAUCCGGAAUGAUUGGGCGUAAAGCGUCUGUAGGUGGCUUAAAAAGUCUCCUGUCAAAGAUCAGGGCUUAACCCUGGGCCGGCAGGAGAAACUCUUAGGCUAGAGUUUGGUAGGGGCAGAGGGAAUUCCCGGUGGAGCGGUGAAAUGCGUAGAGAUCGG
rnacentral:rRNA from 1 species